rnacentral:lncRNA from 1 species
GGCGCCGCUCCGCGCGCGCGACGCCCCCGGAGGCGCCUGGAGUCAGUGCGGAGCCCCGUGAGGCGCGGGGAGAAGAGGCAGCGGGCGGAGGGGAGCAGCGGGUGGUCCGAGGCGGCGCAGCCCAGGACCCACGUUCUCUGGCUCUUGUCGACGGCGCAAGCUAACGCAAACACACAUGGUCGGACGCAUGCACAGCACGCCUAGAAGCGGAUCAAGAAGUAAUUAUAGAACAAGCUUUCCAGCGCCUCACUCAGUCACACCUCCUUCAAGAGCUGUGAAAUGGAAAGAAAACAGUUACUCCAGCUGCGACGUCUGAAGGGGCCCCGCACUUCGUCCCUGGUCAUAAGACACCGCAAGAGUUUAGUUAAGUGGCUUGAUACCAAGGAAGAGGUGGGCCCUGCACUCCUAAAAUCCCAAGCUCCGGCCCCUUACAGUCUCAUCUGAGAAACACAUCUUCAACGGCAGGCCAAAUUCCUCCUGCGAGCAACAUUCUGUAGCUGCAGCUGAUGGCAAGAUGUCACCAGCGGCUGAUGGCAAAAUGUCACCAGAGUCGCGGGUUAACCACCCCAUCCGCUAUCCAAGGCCCUCUCCCCGCUACCCUUUCAACCUUGUCCCAGAGGCUUUUAUGUUGGGGUAUGGCAACAAACUCUGUGGCUUUGUGUACCCACCCACAUUAAAGGCUAAAAUGUGAAAUAAACCAGUGCCCUUAUCCGCACAUGUCAGUCAUCUAAUUUGACCCCCUCUUCCAGCCAGAACUUAAUUGACCAGGUAUUUGACAGAAUUUUAUGAUCCUCAGCCAGUUCAGACUCUGAGAUGAACCUCUUGUCUACAGAGGUUUAGGUGUUUGCAGGAAUGCAAGGAGAAAUAGAAAGGUAAUCUCAAGGUAGCAAGUUUUCUAGGAUGGGCCACG